rnacentral:rRNA from 1 species
GACGAACGCUGGCGGCGUGCUUAACACAUGCAAGUCGAACGGUAAGGCUCCAGCUUGCUGGGGUACACGAGUGGCGAACGGGUGAGUAACACGUGGGUGACCUGCCCUGCACUUCGGGAUAAGCCUGGGAAACUGGGUCUAAUACCGGAUAGGACCGCACCGUGAGGGUGUGGUGGAAAGUUUUUUCGGUGUGGGAUGGGCCCGCGGCCUAUCAGCUUGUUGGUGGGGUAAUGGCCUACCAAGGCGGCGACGGGUAGCCGGCCUGAGAGGGUGGACGGCCACAUUGGGACUGAGACACGGCCCAGACUCCUACGGGAGGCAGCGGUGGGGAAUAUUGCACAAUGGGCGGAAGCCUGAUGCAGCGACGCCGCGUGGGGGAUGACGGCCUUCGGGUUGUAAACUCCUUUCACCAUCGACGAAGGGUUUCUGACGGUAGAUGGAGAAGAAGCACCGGCUAACUACGUGCCAGCAGCCGCGGUAAUACGUAGGGUGCGAGCGUUGUCCGGAAUUACUGGGCGUAAAGAGCUCGUAGGUGGUUUGUCGCGUCGUCUGUGAAAUUCCGGGGCUUAACUCCGGGCGUGCAGGCGAUACGGGCAUAACUUGAGUACUGUAGGGGAGACUGGAAUUCCUGGUGUAGCGAUGAGAUGCGCAGAUAUCAGGAGGAACACCGGUGGCGAAGGCGGGUCUCUGGGCAGUAACUGACGCUGAGGAGCGAAAGCAUGGGGAGCGAACAGGAUUAGAUACCCUGGUAGUCCAUGCCGUAAACGGUGGGCGCUAGGUGUGGGUUUCCUUCCACGGGAUCCGUGCCGUAGCUAACGCAUUAAGCGCCCCGCCUGGGGAGUACGGCCGCAAGGCUAAAACUCAAAGGAAUUGACGGGGGCCCGCACAAGCGGCGGAGCAUGUGGAUUAAUUCGAUGCAACGCGAAGAACCUUACCUGGGCUUGACAUAUACAGGAUCGCGCCAGAGAUGGUGUUUCCCUUGUGGCUUGUAUACAGGUGGUGCAUGGUUGUCGUCAGCUCGUGUCGUGAGAUGUUGGGUUAAGUCCCGCAACGAGCGCAACCCUUGUCUUAUGUUGCCAGCACGUUGUGGUGGGGACUCGUAAGAAACUGCCGGGGUUAACUCGGAGGAAGGUGGGGAUGACGUCAAAUCAUCAUGCCCCUUAUGUCCAGGGCUUCACACAUGCUACAAUGGUCGGUACAGUGGGUUGCCAGUCCGUGAGGGCGAGCUAAUCCCGCAAAGCCGGUCUCAGUUCGGAUCGGGGUCUGCAACUCGACCCCGUGAAGUCGGAGUCGCUAGUAAUCGCAGAUCAGCAACGCUGCGGUGAAUACGUUCCCGGGCCU